CACGCCCUAAACGAUGGAUACUCGACAUACGCGAUACACUGUGUGUGUCUGAGCGAAAGCAUUAAGUAUCCCACCUGGGAAGUACGAUCGCAAGAUUGAAACUCAAAGGAAUUGACGGGG
rnacentral:rRNA from 1 species